UAAUUUAUUCCAAGCAUAAUUAUACCCUGCACACACCAAAUAGUAUAAGUUGUACUGUCUCGUUCCUGACUUUAUAUUUGGUUUUCAUUUAUUUAUUGCUCAAAGUAAUUAUCUGUGACCCAGACCGGACGCAGACAAAACUUCUCAGUUUUUUGUAAUCUCAGAUAAUAUUACCUACAUGACUUAUCAGUAUAAAAAAAAAUGGAUAACUAAUGAAUUUCAAUAAUCCUUAAAAAAAUAUAAAAACAUUUAUAGUUCUAAUCCUAAAAAAGGUUUACUAUCUAUGUCAUACCUAAAUAGUAGACCAGGAGCAAGACAGAAAAAAACAUUCUUACAAUAAUAUGCGAUAAACUUCUAAAUUAUAUUAUCUUUAAAUACUUCAAAUAAUUUGUAUUAUUAGUACUUAUUAAAGUUGUACUACUACUUAGAAGUUUUUUUCUUUUUUCAUUCGGUAGCUUGCUUGUUACCUAUGCAAGUAUCAAUGUUUAUACCCACGUAAUCUACGUUAUAAGUAGCUAUACAUAAAUACAAUCAUUUUUUAUUUUUAUAUAUGUACCUAUAGUAGAAGCAUACGUUAUAGUGAUCGCUUUCAGUAGGUAUCACAAAAAACAAAAAAAAAAACUUGAAACGAUCAAGCUAUUUAAACAAUAAAUAUUUGAAUCAACCAAAUUACAAUACACGGCUCUUGGACUAUUUUCAUUUCAUACCUAUGUUAAGCCCUGCACUUACUUCAGAUUGCACAACUUCCUGACAAGUAAUACGAUAUUAUUGUUUUCACUGAAUGACGCAAGUUGCGCGACCGCAUCAAUUGGUCUCCGAAAUAUGCUGACUCUAUGGCUAUUGCGUACUGGCGUGACCUCGCCGGAGGCCAACAUGACUGGUUGGGCAUAUGCUUUUUGGAGGUGGUGCAAAAAUUUAAGGUGUUUGAAACCAAAAUGUAAUAACUAUUGUUUUUGCUUCCGAUUUAUAAACAUAAUUAAUCCUACGAACAAAGCUCAUUUUCAUUUUUGUUUUAAAUCAGUACUUGAUACUUAAAUUUAAACACAAGAAAAACUAUAUAAACCUGUAUAUUUAACGAUUUCCCUAAAACUCUUCAGUGCCGAAAUCGUCUUCAGUACCAUCUCGUUACUCUGUGCGUGUUACUCUCUGCGAUCACCUCGCUACUUGUCGCUAGCUUCUCGUCGUAUCCAAGUUCCUGAUAUCGAAAUGUCGGACUCAGAGUUUGAAUAUCCUGGUGUGCCAGUGCCUGUGCAGCUAAGCAAGAAGCAGAAGUCUCCAGCAGGCUCCAAGCGCAAGGCUACGACGAGUUCCAACGAGGCUAGGUCGGACUCAGAGUUAGAAUAUCCUGUGCAGCUGAGCAGGAAGCCGAAGUCUCCAGCGGGCUCCAAGCGCAAGG